rnacentral:rRNA from 1 species
ACCUGGGAUGAGGUAGGGAUACCCGCUGAACUUAAGCAUAUCAAUAAGCGGAGGAAAAGAAACCAACAGGGAUUGCCUCAGUAACGGCGAGUGAAGCGGCAACAGCUCAAAUUUGAAAUCUGGUCCUUUCAGGUCCCGAGUUGUAAUUUGUAGAAGAUGCUUCGAGCGUGGCUCCGGUCUAAGUCCCUUGGAACAGGGCGUCAUAGAGGGUGAGAAUCCCGUAUGUGACUGGCUGCCUCCGUUCAUGUGAAGCUCUUUCGACGAGUCGAGUUGUUUGGGAAUGCAGCUCAAAAUGGGUGGUAAAUUUCAUCUAAAGCUAAAUAUUGGCCAGAGACCGAUAGCGCACAAGUAGAGUGAUCGAAAGAUGAAAAGCACUUUGGAAAGAGAGUUAAACAGUACGUGAAAUUGUUGAAAGGGAAGCGCUUGCAAUCAGACUUGCGCGCCGUUGAUCAUCCCCGGUUCUCCGGGGUGCACUCGGCGGCGCUCAGGCCAGCAUCGGUUUCGGUGGUCGGAUAAAGGCCUUGGGAAUGUGGCUCCUUUCGGGGAGUGUUAUAGCCCUCGGUGCAAUGCGGCCUACCGGGAC